UACGUAGGGUGCGAGCGUUAAUCGGAAUUACUGGGCGUAAAGCGUGCGCAGGCGGUUUUGUAAGCCAGAUGUGAAAUCCCCGGGCUUAACCUGGGAAUGGCAUUUGGGACUGCAAGGCUUGAGUGCGGCAGAGGAGACUGGAAUUCCUGGUGUAGCAGUGAAAUGCGUAGAGAUGUGGAGGAACACCGAUGGCGAAGGCAGCCCCCUGGGUCGACACUGACGCUCAUGCACGAAAGCGUGGGGAGCAAACAGG
rnacentral:rRNA from 1 species